rnacentral:rRNA from 1 species
GAUGAACGCUGGCGGCGUGCCUAAUACAUGCAAGUCGAGCGAACUGACUAGAAUCUUUCUGCUCUGUUGUUAGCGGCGUACGGGUGAGUAACACGUGGAUAACCUACCUAUAACACUGCCAUAACUGCGGGAAACCUAACCGAAUACCGGAUAAUAUUCUGAACCGCAUGAGUCAAAAGUGCAAUACGGUCUUGCUGACACUUAUAGACGAUCCCCCGCUGCAUUAGCUAGUUGCUAAGGUAACGGCUUACCAAGGCAACGAAGCAGAGCCGACCUGAUAGGGUGAUCAGGCAGCCUGGAAGUGAGACACGGUCCAGAGUACUAGGGACGGGAGCAGUAGGGAAUCUUGCGGAAUGAGCGAAGAACAGACGGAGCAACGCCGCGUGAGUGAUGAGGGUCUUCGGAUCGUAAAACUAUGUUAUUAGGGCAGAACAUAUGUGUAAGUAACUGUGCAGCACUUGACAGUACCUAAUCAGAAAGGCACGGCUAACUACGUG